GAUGAACGCUAGCUACAGGCUUAACACAUGCAAGUCGAGGGGCAGCAUGGUCUUAGCUUGCUAAGGCCGAUGGCGACCGGCGCACGGGUGAGUAACACGUAUCCAACCUGCCGUCUACUCUUGGACAGCCUUCUGAAAGGAAGAUUAAUACAAGAUGGCAUCAUGAGUCCACAUGUUCACAUGAUUAAAGGUAUUCCGGUAGACGAUGGGGAUGCGUUCCAUUAGAUAGUAGGCGGGGUAACGGCCCACCUAGUCUUCGAUGGAUAGGGGUUCUGAGAGGAAGGUCCCCCACAUUGGAACUGAGACACGGUCCAAACUCCUACGGGAGGCAGCAGUGAGGAAUAUUGGUCAAUGGGCGAGAGCCUGAACCAGCCAAGUAGCGUGAAGGAUGACUGCCCUAUGGGUUGUAAACUUCUUUUAUAAAGGAAUAAAGUCGGGUAUGCAUACCCGUUUGCAUGUACUUUAUGAAUAAGGAUCGGCUAACUCCGUGCCAGCAGCCGCGGUAAUACGGAGGAUCCGAGCGUUAUCCGGAUUUAUUGGGUUUAAAGGGAGCGUAGAUGGAUGUUUAAGUCAGUUGUGAAAGUUUGCGGCUCAACCGUAAAAUUGCAGUUGAUACUGGAUAUCUUGAGUGCAGUUGAGGCAGGCGGAAUUCGUGGUGUAGCGGUGAAAUGCUUAGAUAUCACGAAGAACUCCGAUUGCGAAGGCAGCCUGCUAAGCUGCAACUGACAUUGAGGCUCGAAAGUGUGGGUAUCAAACAGGAUUAGAUACCCUGGUAGUCCACACGGUAAACGAUGAAUACUCGCUGUUUGCGAUAUACAGCAAGCGGCCAAGCGAAAGUGUUAAGUAUUCCACCUGGGGAGUACGCCGGCAACGGUGAAACUCAAAGGAAUUGACGGGGGCCCGCACAAGCGGAGGAACAUGUGGUUUAAUUCGAUGAUACGCGAGGAACCUUACCCGGGCUUAAAUUGCAGAUGAAUUACGGUGAAAGCCGUAAGCCGCAAGGCAUCUGUGAAGGUGCUGCAUGGUUGUCGUCAGCUCGUGCCGUGAGGUGUCGGCUUAAGUGCCAUAACGAGCGCAACCCUUGUUGUCAGUUACUAACAGGUUCUGCUGAGGACUCUGGCAAGACUGCCAUCGUAAGAUGUGAGGAAGGUGGGGAUGACGUCAAAUCAGCACGGCCCUUACGUCCGGGGCUACACACGUGUUACAAUGGGGGGUACAGAGGGCCGCUACCACGCGAGUGGAUGCCAAUCCCAAAAACCUCUCUCAGUUCGGACUGGAGUCUGCAACCCGACUCCACGAAGCUGGAUUCGCUAGUAAUCGCGCAUCAGCCACGGCGCGGUGAAUACGUUCCCGGGCCUUGUACACACCGCCCGUCAAGCCAUGGGAGCCGGGGGUACCUGAAGUGCGUAACCGCGAGGAGCGCCCUAGGGUA
rnacentral:rRNA from 1 species